rnacentral:rRNA from 1 species
UACGGAGGGGGCUAGCGUUGUUCGGAAUUACUGGGCGUAAAGCGCACGUAGGCGGCUUUGUAAGUUAGAGGUGAAAGCCUGGAGCUCAACUCCAGAAUUGCCUUUAAGACUGCAUCGCUUGAAUCAUGGAGAGGCGGGUGGAAUUCCGGGUGUAGAGGUGAAAUUCGUAGAUAUUCGGAAGAACACCAGUGGCGAAGGCGGCCCGCUGGACAUGUAUUGACGCUGAGGUGCGAAAGCGUGGGGAGCAAACAGG